CCUACGGGCGGCUGCAGUGGGGAAUAUUGGACAAUGGGCGAAAGCCUGAUCCAGCCAUGCCGCGUGUGUGAAGAAGGCCUUCGGGUUGUAAAGCACUUUCAGUGGGGAAGAAAGCCUUGGGGCUAAUACCCUCGAGGAAGGACAUCACCCACAGAAGAAGCACCGGCUAACUCCGUGCCAGCAGCCGCGGUAAUACGGACGGUGCGAGCGUUAAUCGGAAUUACUGGGCGUAAAGCGCGCGUAGGCGGUCUGAUAAGCCGGUUGUGAAAGCCCCGGGCUCAACCUGGGAACGGCAUCCGGAACUGUCAGGCUAGAGUGCAGGAGAGGAAGGUAGAAUUCCCGGUGUAGCGGUGAAAUGCGUAGAGAUCGGGAGGAAUACCAGUGGCGAAGGCGGCCUUCUGGACUGACACUGACGCUGAGGUGCGAAAGCGUGGGUAGCAAACAGGAUUAGAUACCCUAGUAGUC
rnacentral:rRNA from 1 species